rnacentral:rRNA from 2 species
GAGCGGACAGAAGGGAGCUUGCUCCCGGAUGUUAGCGGCGGACGGGUGAGUAACACGUGGGUAACCUGCCUGUAAGACUGGGAUAACUCCGGGAAACCGGAGCUAAUACCGGAUAGUUCCUUGAACCGCAUGGUUCAAGGAUGAAAGACGGUUUCGGCUGUCACUUACAGAUGGACCCGCGGCGCAUUAGCUAGUUGGUGAGGUAACGGCUCACCAAGGCGACGAUGCGUAGCCGACCUGAGAGGGUGAUCGGCCACACUGGGACUGAGACACGGCCCAGACUCCUACGGGAGGCAGCAGUAGGGAAUCUUCCGCAAUGGACGAAAGUCUGACGGAGCAACGCCGCGUGAGUGAUGAAGGUUUUCGGAUCGUAAAGCUCUGUUGUUAGGGAAGAACAAGUGCAAGAGUAACUGCUUGCACCUUGACGGUACCUAACCAGAAAGCCACGGCUAACUACGUGCCAGCAGCCGCGGUAAUACGUAGGUGGCAAGCGUUGUCCGGAAUUAUUGGGCGUAAAGGGCUCGCAGGCGGUUUCUUAAGUCUGAUGUGAAAGCCCCCGGCUCAACCGGGGAGGGUCAUUGGAAACUGGGAAACUUGAGUGCAGAAGAGGAGAGUGGAAUUCCACGUGUAGCGGUGAAAUGCGUAGAGAUGUGGAGGAACACCAGUGGCGAAGGCGACUCUCUGGUCUGUAACUGACGCUGAGGAGCGAAAGCGUGGGGAGCGAACAGGAUUAGAUACCCUGGUAGUCCACGCCGUAAACGAUGAGUGCUAAGUGUUA